rnacentral:rRNA from 1 species
CCUACGGGAGGCAGCAGUGGGGAAUAUUGGACAAUGGGGGGAACCCUGAUCCAGCCAUGCCGCGUGUGUGAAGAAGGCCCUCGGGUUGUAAAGCACUUUCAGUGAGGAAGAACGCCUGGUGGUUAAUACCCAUCAGGAAAGACAUCACUCACAGAAGAAGCACCGGCUAACUCCGUGCCAGCAGCCGCGGUAAUACGGAGGGUGCGAGCGUUAAUCGGAAUUACUGGGCGUAAAGCGCGCGUAGGUGGCUUGAUAAGCCGGUUGUGAAAGCCCCGGGCUCAACCUGGGAACGGCAUCCGGAACUGUCAAGCUAGAGUGCAGGAGAGGAAGGUAGAAUUCCCGGUGUAGCGGUGAAAUGCGUAGAGAUCGGGAGGAAUACCAGUGGCGAAGGCGGCCUUCUGGACUGACACUGACACUGAGGUGCGAAAGCGUGGGUAGCAAACAGGAUCAGAUACCCCAGUAGUC